rnacentral:rRNA from 1 species
GACGAACGCUGGCGGCGUGCCUAAUACAUGCAAGUCGAACGGUCUUUUCUAUGGAAGCUUGCUUCCGCUGAGAAGAUAGUGGCGAACGGGUGAGUAACACGUGGGUAACCUGCCCAUAAGAGGGGGAUAACAUCCGGAAACGGUGACUAAAACCGCAUAAGCGCACAUUGUCGCAUGACAAAGUGUGAAAAUAUUUAUAGGUAUAGGAUGGGCCCGCGUCUGAUUAGCUAGUUGGUGAGGUAACGGCUCACCAAGGCGACGAUCAGUAGCCGGCUUGAGAGAGUGACCGGCCACAUUGGGACUGAGACACGGCCCAAACUCCUACGGGA